GGAGAUGUUGAGUCCUUCCAUCAAGCUCAAUGCCGUCACUGUGACCUCCAUUCUCGCGGCAUGCUCGGAUCUGAAAGCGCAGCACCAUGGGAUGGAAGUCCACGGGUUCGUGCUGAGGAACGGCCUCGAAUCGAAUGUAUUUGUCUCGGCUGCUCUGAUCGACACAUAUGCCAAGUGUGAGAACAUGGGCCAUGCAGUAAAAGUGUUCUGUGGAGCUAGAGAGAGAAACACAGUCACCUGGAACACCAUGAUGGCCGGGUACAACUCCACAGGGGAGCCAGAGAACGCCCUCAAGCUAUUUCCAGAGAUGCUCUGUGAAGGCCACGCGCCGAGCUCUGUCACACUCCUGAUCCUUCUCCGGGCCUGCAGCACCAUGGCGGCGCUCG
rnacentral:lncRNA from 1 species